rnacentral:lncRNA from 1 species
UUUUCUCCUUUUCCUCUCUCUCUCUACCCGAGAUCUUCUCUCUCUUCCCCCCUCGCCGGAAAUCGCCGCCGCCGUACCGCCGACGCACCGCCGUCGGUCGCCGCCGUCGCCGGAAUCCGGAUUUCAACCAAAAUUUCUAGAUUUUCUUCUCUUCAUCCCAUCUUUCCAUUUCUCCAACCAAAAUCAAGAAAUUUGGCCAUCCAACCCUCCAAAAACCCUAGAACCCGAAGCUAAUUUGGGGGUUUUUGUGAUUUCUUCUUUCCAAGCUUAAAUCAAGGCUAUGGGUUUGGCAAGGAUUUUUGGUGAGGAUUUGUAGGUGAAGAAGGCCAAGGAGAAGGAAUAGGACGUGACUUUUGAAGAAGAAAGGGAAACACGAUCGUUAAGGAAGCUUAAGCGGAAAGCAUCAGAGUGUGGAGUACGCCAGCAUUUUCCAGGUUAUAACGAGGUCAUUCCGGACGAUUUGGAUUAGAGGUGGGUCGUUGGCCAAGUUUGUGUGUUGCUGUUCCUGUUGCUUGAAGUUCUUCCCUUGUGGUAUUCCAUCGUUUUACUCGUUUUUCAUUCCAUGUUGAACUCUGUGAGGUCCGCCUACCUGGAAGCGCGCCUCACCCCUUUGUUUUAUUGUUAUUGUUGAACUCCUUUCAUUUCGGUUAUGAUGUAAGCCCCAAGGCACCACAAUGCACUUGCCCACUUUAUUUUUAAGCAUUUCCAGACUUGUUCUUUUGAGUGUUGGGUUGU